UGAGUAAUGUCUGGGAAACUGCCCGAUGGAGGGGGAUAACUACUGGAAACGGUAGCUAAUACCGCAUAACGUCUUCGGACCAAAGUGGGGGACCUUCGGGCCUCACACCAUCGGAUGUGCCCAGAUGGGAUUAGCUAGUAGGUGGGGUAAUGGCUCACCUAGGCGACGGUCCCUAGCUGGUCUGAGAGGAUGACCAGCCACACUGGAACUGAGACACGGUCCAGACUCCUACGGGAGGCAGCAGUGGGGAAUAUUGCACAAUGGGCGCAAGCCUGAUGCAGCCAUGCCGCGUGUAUGAAGAAGGCCUUCGGGUUGUAAAGUACUUUCAGUGGGGAGGAAGGCGUUAAGGUUAAUAGCCUUGACGAUUGACGUUACCCGCAGAAGAAGCACCGGCUAACUCCGUGCCAGCAGCCGCGGUAAUACGGAGGGUGCAAGCGUUAAUCGGAAUUACUGGGCGUAAAGCGCACGCAGGCGGUCUGUCAAGUCGGAUGUGAAAUCCCCGGG
rnacentral:rRNA from 1 species